CGAACCAAUUUAUAGGCUAAGGUUGGAUUCGAAUCCAUGAGACGACGUCUGUUGACUUUUGACUUUUGACUUUAGGGGUAUCCUCAAAGUUUAUCUUCUCCAUUUGCAAUUCUGCAUCUGCAUCUGCAUCUGAUAUAAUGGAAACUUUGAGGCUGUGAAGCAGCCGAUAGAUAGAUAGAUUAUUAGUUUGCUCGUUGCUGUCACAGCCUUAGAUUAUCAUUAGCACUGCUGGUGUAGUUGGAUCAACAAGAUGAACAAAUUGACGACCAUGUUUGGGUCUCUUGGGAGAAGGAGUUCGAGUGUAAGUACAAAUGCUUCGGGUGAUAGGAAGAACCCUUCCCAGGAAUUAGAUAAGGUGUUUCUUAUGACUCUGGAUCUACGUGAUGCUAAGACCACAAAUAAAGUCAUGGGCAAAGUUUAUAAGAUCCCAGGUGUCUCUUCUGUAGUCAUGGAGGAUGACUGCAGGAUUACAUUGACUGGGACAGCCGAUCCACAGAAGCUACUCAACAAGCUUAAAAUUUACCGGCCUAUGAUACGGAAGAUUACGGUAAGCAAGAAGGACGAUUCAUGCGAAGAAGAAGGUGUUCUCCUAAGCAAGAAGCACCAUUCAGGUGUAGAUGAUGAUACUGGCAGUGAGCAAUGGGAGAAAGGAUAUAAAAAGUUGGAUAUGGAUGGUGGGGGAGAAGCGUACAGUGAGUUGGAUAUGGAUGAUGGGGGAGAGGCCUCCAGUGGUACGAUGAGUAUCAUGAGUUCACCAGCGUGUAUAUGGGAAAAACCAGAUUACUCUGGUUCAAGGGACGACAUUCAAACCGCUGCAGACAAUACCACAACUAUGACUCCCAACAGCGAUGACUGGUACCCUUUCUGCGAUUUCCUCAGCAAUCGUAUGCCUCCGUUGACUCCCUUUGGGUGCAGCGCCGACGAUGUCAUUUAUUUUCUUCGCACGCGGCAGGUUUCAGGCGGCAUCGAGGCUCUUGCUAGCCGCCUCAGUGCUAAGACGGAUGCAUAUGUCCUAAAACCUGAGGACAAUCCUUUUCGCAGCGCGGCUGUAACAUCAUACCUAAAGGCUGCGAGGGAAAUGACUCGAGAAACAGAAUGCAUACUAGUAUUUUCGUGCAAUGACAACCAUGAUGUGGAUGAGACAUCUUUCAUCGAAGCCAUCUCAAAAGAGUUGAGCAAGCGAAAGGUCAUCCCUUUCGAAUAUAAUCUAUUGCGAAGAGAGAACCUGGAUGAGGGGUUGCUAGACAGAUCUAAUGUUGGUAUCAUGAUCAUUUCAAAUACUUAUGCUUCUUCUACACAGUCCCUGGAUCAUCUGGUGGCAAUCAUGAAGCGCAGGAAAGCAACAGGCCUUGUAAUUAUUCCUAUAUAUUUUAAGGUAACACUUUCAGACAUUUACGGGUCGAAAGGCAAGUUUGAAGCAGCAUUUCUGCAGCUUCAGAGUUCUCUCCAGAAAGACAGAGUUAAGAGAUGGAAAGCGGCUGUGUCUGAAAUCGUGUCCAUUGGUGGAAUUGAAUGGACAAAGGGAUUUCAGUUUAUACUUGCCGAGGAAGUUGUAAGAAAUGCAUCCCUAAGGCUAUAUUUGAAGAAUAGCAAGAAUAUGGUCGAAAUCUUAUCACUGUUAAAACAUUCCGAGUGUUUAGAUGUGGAAAUUUUUGGACUCUGGGGUAUGCCAGGAAUAGGCAAGACAUCUCUCGCUAGAGAAGUCUUUGAGAUACUGGUUCCGCAAUAUGACUUGUGUUACUUCCUGCAAGACUUUCAUCUGGAGUUUGAGAUGAAAGGGCUGUGGCAAUUGCGUGAUGAUUUCUUCUCUAAAAUAUUUGGAGAAGAAAAACUAAGUUUAGACGCUUCUGAUACAAAACUGAGUUUCAUGUGGGACCGGUUCCAUAAUAAAAGGAUCCUUGUUGUCCUCGAUGACGUCAGUAAUGCCAGAGAUGCAGAAGCUGUAGUUGGAGGGUUUGGCUGGUUUUCUAAGGGACACACAAUCAUUUUAACGUCUAGGAAAAAACAAGUUCUUGUACAGUGUAAAGCUAAAGAGCUAUACGAGAUCCAAAAUUUAUGCGAGUUUGAAUCUUUACGUCUCUGCAAACAGUAUUUAAAUGAAGAAAGUGAGGUCAUCUCAGAGCUUAUAAGCUGCAGUAGUGGUAUUCCCUUGGUUCUCAAAGCUUUAGUUUCCUCUGUAUCAAAGCGGCAUAUAAACAGUGUGAAGGAACAUCUCUGGUUCUUGCUAGAAAAUUCUCCUAGUCUGAUUGAAGAUGCAUUUGGGAGAAGCUUUGAUGGCCUAGAUGAAAACGAGAAGAACAUAUUUUUGGACAUUGCAUGUUUUUUCAGAGGGGUGGACAUGGAUCAUGUGGUGCCAAUACUUGAUGCUUGCGGGUUUUAUACAAACUUGGGAAUCUGUGAUCUUAUAGAUGAGUCUCUCAUUAGCCUUCGGGGCAAUAGGAUAGAGAUGCCUAUUCCUUUUCAAGAAUUUGGUCGAUUUCUUGUUCAUGAAGAAGAUGAGGAUCCAUGCGAGCGUAGCAGAUUGUGGGACCCUAGUGACAUCACUAAUGUAUUGACUAACAAUUCAGGAACGGACGCUAUUGAGGGCAUUUUCCUAGAUGCGUCUGACAUGACCUGUGAGUUGGGUCCGACUGUAUUUGAUAAGAUGUGUAAACUUCGAUUGCUGAAGUUCUAUUAUCCCACCUAUGGGAAUCACCAGUUCAUGCUAAGCUUACCUCAAGGCCUAUACUCUUUGCCUGAUGAGUUAAGGCUACUUCACUGGGAGGGUUACCCUCUGGAAAAUUUGCCGCAGAAAUUUAAUCCUGAGAACCUUGUACAGCUAAACAUGCCUUACAGCGACAUGGUGAAGUUAUGGGAAGGGAAGAAAAAUCUCGGGAAUCUGAAGAUAUUGAAACUUAGCCACUCCGAAAAGUUGACUGAUAUCCGGAUGUUAUCAGAAGCCUUGAACCUUGAAAAUAUUGAUCUCGAAGGAUGUACGAGUCUGGUUGACAUCAGCUCAUUUAUUCCUCGUUGUGGGAAGCUUGUUUCCUUGAAUAUGAAAGACUGUUCUCAUCUGCAAAGUUUGCCGGCAAUGGUUGGUUUAACAUCUCUCAAGCUUCUUAAUUUGUCUGGUUGCUUAGACCUUGAGGAGAUUCAGGAUUUUGCACCAAACUUAAGAGAGUUAUAUCUAGCUGGAACUGCCAUAAGAGAACUUCCAUUGUCAAUCGAGAAUCUCACAGAACUUGUUACACUCGAUCUGGAGAACUGCAAAAGGCUUCAACAACUGCCAGUUGGAGUAAGCAACUCGAAAUCCAUUCUCAAGCUGAAGCUGUCUGGCUGCGCAAGUCUUGGGCGUCUUCCAAAACUCAAGGCAGUAGAUUAUGGAACAUCUUAGUUUGUUGAAUAAAAUUAAAGUGUUGAAGUUUCUGCGGUUCUAUCACACACUUCAUUUGAGAGUUAAGGCCAGACUUCAUCCAAAAGCCUUCUGAAUUCUCUAGUUCACAGAGUAAAUCAGACCCAAGAGGUGCUUGAUCAACAACUGUGCUGAAGAACGUUUAACUACCCCUAAACGUCCAUCAAUUCACGGAGUCUGCAACCACUGAUCACGUACGCUUGGAUUUAUCACUGAAGCUGGUGUGUUUCAAGCUAGAAACAAUCAGCAAUAACCGUGCACGAUCUGUUUCGCAGUUCCUGUUCUACCAAGUAGUUCAUUACCAUGCCAAAUGGUGUAUGGGUUUUGGAAAAUAUCAACUCUGGCAAGUGGCAACCCGUUAGUGCUCAUGGAUCCACAUAUCAUAUCAUUACUCACUGCAUGAUAUGAUGAUCAAACUACUGGUAUUAAACUGGAAGUCCAUUCGGAACAUUGGUCACCGACCUGGUAUCAACAGUACGGUAUUAGAAUAUGCAUCAAAACCUUUUUGGUAAUAAUUAGGAUACCAAAUUAAAUAGGAAACAAAAUAGAGUUUGGAGUAAAAUCUUCUACAAUGUCAUUAUAUUUUUUACUCCAAAAUGGAGAUUUUGAAAGAAGAAAAAAUAGUGUAAUAUUACUGUUUCCAUACUGUGCUUUUGGAGACAGGAUUUUGUAUGCUCACACACACACACACACACAUAUAUAUAUGUAUGCCAUGUUUAACUACCACAAUUUUGUCAUUUUCCUUGUGGAAUACGAUGACAAACUACAUAUAUCUGGGAUUCACGUUCGCA